UACGGAGGAUGCAAGCGUUAUCCGGAAUGAUUGGGCGUAAAGCGUCCGCAGGUGGCAAUGUAAGUCUGCUGUUAAAGAGUCUAGCUCAACUAGAUACAAGCAGUGGAAACUACAUAGCUAGAGUACGUUCGGGGCAGAGGGAAUUCCUGGUGUAGCGGUGAAAUGCGUAGAGAUCGGGAAGAACACCCGUGGCGAAAGCGCUCUACUGGACUGCAACUGACACUCAGGGACGAAAGCUAGGGGAGCGAAUGGG
rnacentral:rRNA from 1 species